AUUGAACGUUGGCGGCAGGCCUAACACAUGCAAGUCGAGCGGUAGCACAGAGAGCUUGCUCUCGGGUGACGAGCGGCGGACGGGUGAGUAAUGUCUGGGAAACUGCCUGAUGGAGGGGGAUAACUACUGGAAACGGUAGCUAAUACCGCAUAACGUCGCAAGACCAAAGUGGGGGACCUUCGGGCCUCAUGCCAUCAGAUGUGCCCAGAUGGGAUUAGCUAGUAGGUGGGGUAACGGCUCACCUAGGCGACGAUCCCUAGCUGGUCUGAGAGGAUGACCAGCCACACUGGAACUGAGACACGGUCCAGACUCCUACGGGAGGCAGCAGUGGGGAAUAUUGCACAAUGGGCGCAAGCCUGAUGCAGCCAUGCCGCGUGUGUGAAGAAGGCCUUCGGGUUGUAAAGCACUUUCAGCGGGGAGGAAGGCGGUGAGGUUAAUAACCUCACCGAUUGACGUUACCCGCAGAAGAAGCACCGGCUAACUCCGUGCCAGCAGCCGCGGUAAUACGGAGGGUGCAAGCGUUAAUCGGAAUUACUGGGCGUAAAGCGCACGCAGGCGGUCUGUCAAGUCGGAUGUGAAAUCCCCGGGCUCAACCUGGGAACUGCAUUCGAAACUGGCAGGCUAGAGUCUUGUAGAGGGGGGUAGAAUUCCAGGUGUAGCGGUGAAAUGCGUAGAGAUCUGGAGGAAUACCGGUGGCGAAGGCGGCCCCCUGGACAAAGACUGACGCUCAGGUGCGAAAGCGUGGGGAGCAAACAGGAUUAGAUACCCUGGUAGUCCACGCUGUAAACGAUGUCGAUUUGGAGGUUGUGCCCUUGAGGCGUGGCUUCCGGAGCUAACGCGUUAAAUCGACCGCCUGGGGAGUACGGCCGCAAGGUUAAAACUCAAAUGAAUUGACGGGGGCCCGCACAAGCGGUGGAGCAUGUGGUUUAAUUCGAUGCAACGCGAAGAACCUUACCUGGUCUUGACAUCCACAGAACUUUCCAGAGAUGGAUUGGUGCCUUCGGGAAUUGUGAGACAGGUGCUGCAUGGCUGUCGUCAGCUCGUGUUGUGAAAUGUUGGGUUAAGUCCCGCAACGAGCGCAACCCUUAUCCUUUGUUGCCAGCGGUUAGGCCGGGAACUCAAAGGAGACUGCCAGUGAUAAACUGGAGGAAGGUGGGGAUGACGUCAAGUCAUCAUGGCCCUUACGACCAGGGCUACACACGUGCUACAAUGGCGUAUACAAAGAGAAGCGACCUCGCGAGAGCAAGCGGACCUCAUAAAGUAUGUCGUAGUCCGGAUUGGAGUCUGCAACUCGACUCCAUGAAGUCGGAAUCGCUAGUAAUCGUAGAUCAGAAUGCUACGGUGAAUACGUUCCCGGGCCU
rnacentral:rRNA from 1 species